rnacentral:misc_RNA from 1 species
GAAUUGCGAUAAGUAAUGUGAAUUGCAGAAUUCCGUGAAUCAUUAAAUCUUUGAACGCACAUUGCGCCAUACGGCAUGUCUGUUUGAGAAUCAGUUUAAUUAUCACAUUGUUACUAGGCAACUAGUAGCAAAAGUGGAUUUGGGACUCGCCUAGUAAUAGGCAGACCUGGAAAUCAUUUGUUGCUUUGACCUCUAUUUGGAUCAGCUUGAAGGCAUGACCAAGAACGCAAGUUCAUUGAUUGCUGACAAGAGCUGCAAAGAAUAGUGUGAAUAGGCCAAAACUCUUUACGGAUAGGGCAACCUAUUUAAGACUUGAUCUCAAAUCAGACAAGACUACCCGCUGAACUUAA